rnacentral:rRNA from 1 species
CCUACGGGGGGCAGCAGUGGGGAAUAUUGGACAAUGGGGGCAACCCUGAUCCAGCCAUGCCGCGUGUGUGAAGAAUGCCCUCGGGUUGUAAAGCACUUUCAGUGAGGAAGAACGCCUGGUGGUUAAUACCCAUCAGGAAAGACAUCACUCACAGAAGAAGCACCGGCUAACUCCGUGCCAGCAGCCGCGGUAAUACGGAGGGUGCGAGCGUUAAUCGGAAUUACUGGGCGUAAAGCGCGCGUAGGUGGCUUGAUAAGCCGGUUGUGAAAGCCCCGGGCUCAACCUGGGAACGGCAUCCGGAACUGUCAAGCUCGAGUGCAGGAGAGGAAGGUAGAAUUCCCGGUGUAGCGGUGAAAUGCGUAGAGAUCGGGAGGAACACCAGUGGCGAAGGCGGCCUUCUGGACUGACACUGACGCUGAGGUGCGAAAGCGUGGGUAGCAAACAGGAUUAGAUACCCCUGUAGUC